rnacentral:rRNA from 1 species
UACGAAGGGGGCGAGCGUUGUUCGGAAUUACUGGGCGUAAAGGGCGCGUAGGCGGCUUGCCAAGUCAGGGGUGAAAUCCUGCAGCUUAACUGUAGAAGGGCCUUUGAUACUGGCGAGCUCGAGGGAGGUAGGGGUAUGUGGAACUUCCGGUGGAGCGGUGAAAUGCGUUGAUAUCGGAAGGAACGCCGGUGGCGAAAGCGACGUACUGGACCUCUUUUGACGCUGAGGCGCGAAAGCUAGGGGAGCAAACGGG